rnacentral:rRNA from 1 species
UACGAAGGGGGCUAGCGUUGCUCGGAUUUACUGGGCGUAAAGGGCGCGUAGGCGGACAGUUUAGUCAGAGGUGAAAGCCCAGGGCUCAACCUUGGAAUUGCCUUUGAUACUGGCUGUCUUGAGUACGGGAGAGGUGAGUGGAACUCCGAGUGUAGAGGUGAAAUUCGUAGAUAUUCGGAAGAACACCAGUGGCGAAGGCGACUCACUGGCCCGUUACUGACGCUGAGGCGCGAAAGCUAGGGGAGCAAACAGG